rnacentral:lncRNA from 1 species
UUUUAAUCGCAGUGUUUCUUAUUCUGUUGCCCCAUUUGAUUUGAUUCAUUCUGAUGUGUGGGCCCUGCCCUUGUCUCAAUUAAGGGGGUUCGAAAUAUUAUGUUUCAUUUAUUGAUGAUUAUAGUAGAUAUUGUUGAGUUUAUCUAAUAAAACAUCAUUCUGAUUUCAUCAGCAUGAUGUUUUAUUAGAUAAACUCAACAAUAUCUACUGUAAUAAGUCAUUUGUAUAUUACGCUCUUCAUCCUAAAGAGCGUAAUAAGUCAUUUGUGUAUUUCUUAGGUAUGGUGACGGUCAGAAGGGCUAUCGUUGUUUUGAUCCUGUUGCUUGUAAAUUAUAUGUCUUUCAUCAUGUCUUCUUUCUUAAGCAUAUUCCCUUCUUCUCUGUUCCUACUAACUCUCAUCAUGUAACCAAGUCUAACCUUAUUUGCAUUGACCCCUUCUCUGAUAAUACAAAUGAGAUCAUGCCACCUAUUAUUGAUGAAGCACCACCUCCCCAGGUUCGCACAGAUGCAGAUGCUUUUUCCCCUCUUGUGGCCUCCCAAGAUCCUCUUGUGAUUGUGGAUCAUCCUCGUCAGUCCAUGCGUACUCGUAAGUCCACUUAGUUAUCAUAAUUUUCUUAUUCAUGUUAUUCUAGCUCAUUUACAUCUUUUUUGGCAUCUAUUCAUACUUUUUGUGAGCCUUCCUCUUAUAUAGAGGUGGUUCUUGAUCUUCCUUGGCAGCAAGCUAUGGCUGAGAAACUUUCUGCUCUCCUCGUAAGAGUACUAUUAGUUCUCGUUGAGUUUAUAAAAUUAAAAUCAAAGCAGAUGGUUCAGUCGAGAGGUAUAAAGCACAAUUGGUUGCUAAGGGUUUGCAUAGCAAUAUGGCUUGAAUUUUGAGGAGACUUGCUCCCGUGUCCAAGAUGAUCAUUGUUCGUACUCUCAUCGCAGUGGCAUCAGUCCGACAGUGGCAUAUCUCAGAUGGAUGUUAAAAAUGCUUUUUGAAUGGAGAUCUUGUCAAAGAAGUUUAUAUGGUUCCUCCUCUUGGUGUUUCUCAUGAUCCUGGAAAAGUUUGCAAGCUCAAGAAGGCUUUAUAUGGUCUCAAACAGGCCCCUCGAGCCUAUGAGAAGUUCUCAGUGGUGCUUACUUUCCUUGGCUUUCGUGCUAGUGAUCAUGAUUUGGCCUUAUUUCUCAAGUGUACUUUAGCUGGUCGUAUUUUGCUUUUACUCUAUAUUGAUGAUAUGAUUAUUACGGGUGAUGAUGUUGUUGUAAUUGCAGUUUUGAAGUCUGAAUUGGCUCAGCAGUUUGACAUGAAGAAUUUGGGUCCCCUAUGAUACUUUCUGGGUAUUGUGGUUGCUUACUCACCUAGGGGUUAUCUUUUGUCUCAUUCCAAGUACGCAGCGGACAUCCUUCAACAAGCUCAUCUUACGGAUACUCGGAUUGUUGAUACUCCUAUCGAGAUUAAUGCUCGUUAUACUCCUACAGAUGGUAUUUUGUUGUCUGAUUCCACAUUGUAUCGGACGAUUGUUGGCAGCUUGGUCUAUCUCACUAUCACUCGCCCCGACAUUACUUAUGUUGUUCACAUUGUAAGUCAGUUCAUUGCCUCCCCUACUUUAGUUCACUGGGCUAUUGUUCUUAGGAUUCUCCGUUAUCUCCGAGGAACACUCUGUCAGAGUCUUCUUCUUUCCUUGACAUCCUCUUUAGAUCUUUGUGCUUACUCUAAUGCUGAUUGGGCUGGUGACUUGAUUGAUCGUAAGUGUACUACGGGCUUUUGCAUAUUCAUGGGUAGCUCUCUCAUCUUUUGGAAGAGCAAAAAGUAGAAUGUUGUUUCUCGAUCUUCUACCGAGGCUGAGUAUUGUGCUAUGGGGUCUACUAAGACUUUGAGAUUGUGUGGUUGCGUUGGUUAUUAAACAAUAUGGGUGUCUCGCUUUCCACUUAUACACCCUUUUACUGUGACAAUAAGAGUGUUAUUCAUAUGGCUCACAAUUAUAUUUUUCCUAAGCGCACGAAACACAUUGAGAUUGAUUGCCAUAUUACUCGGCAACAUCUUCAGCGUGGAACAAUUGUUUUGCCAUUUGUCUCCUCUUCUAUGCAGCUUGCAGAUUUCUUUACAAAGUCUCAAAGCCGUCCAAUGGCUUUUGUCACGCCCCGGGUCAAACCCAAGACACGGCCACGUAAGCAAACAACUCACAUGUGGGGAAAAGUCAAAUAAAAAAAAUGACAUACACUGUCAUUUACAUCAGAGUGCGGAAAUUAAUAUUACAACAUCUAAUUACACUUUAAUAUGUUUAUCAAAUUAAAAACAGCACAAUGGCAUCCCACAUGCCUCAAGACGCAGGAUUAAACCCUCGGUACGUGAAAAUCAUUGUUUAUAGAAAGGUGAGGUACCUUGAAAAAGAUUUAACCAAUGAGGACUUGAUGCUUCAAGCAACACCAUGAUACAUAAACUAGACUAUGAAAACAUGAUACCAAUAAAGUAGCUUCAUUUUUAUAUCAAAUCUAAUUGUGAUUUCAAUCCUUGAUUUUCAACUAACAGGGUUUCAAAAAUUCAACUUUUCUCACAGGCAUUACUCCAAUAAUUUAGAAAACACAUUUAGAACCCCCCCCCAAUACCAACCAUCUUAUUAUGCACUAAGCACGUGAGAUUAAAAACACCCAUCAACUUUCCGGACUUUCACCGUGGGACUAUGAUAUUCCCUCCGUUAUCGUUGCCAUCUAGGACUUUAUUUUGUCAACUUCCGGGACUUUCACCGUGGGCUAUGACAUUCCCUCCUUAUCGUUGCCACUGGACUUUAUUAUCACACUUUCCGGACAUUCACGUGGGCUAUGACAUUUCCCUCAAUAGCUUUGCAAUCUAGGACUUUAUUCUGUGCUUAAUCUAAGCCAUCUAAUUUCGUUAUAUUUAGCGUUCAUUCCUAAGACAGGUUCUAUUCUCAAUUCCAUAAUUUCAUUUCUAAAACCAAAGUUCAUGCAUUUUGAAACGUUAUAUUUAAUAAUACUUUCACAGUAUACAUAAGAAAUCACUUUAUUCAAUCAAUUCAAGUAAACCAACAUAAUUCAUUAAUAGAGGACAAUUUCAAUGUAAAUAUGUCAAAUAUUUUCAUAAGCAUUUAUGAGCAUUAAUGUGGACAAUAAUCGAUAUUAAAGCACAAAUAAUUUUAGAUAAAAUUUCAAACAUUUUAUUCUCUUAAUUUUCGCAUAAAAAUAAAAUUUAUGCAUCAUCAAAACUAAAUUUUUUCAUUGUCAAAAUAAUAUAUUAAUAGACUUUAUAUAGGCUCAUUAACAACAAAUCCAAAGUAAAACCCAAACAAAACUAACCCCCUUUACCUCAAAUAGACAUUGACACCGUCGGAUAUGAAGAUCACAGGCUUCCAUGAUCAUCAUGACUAAAUUUUGCAUUGAUCCAAUCAUUCUCACCGUUGAUUGCACCACCCUAUCUUUCGUGAUCAAAAACUUAACGUCUCACCAAUAAAUGUCUCUCAUGUUCUUUAUCCUCUUUCUCUUUCUCCUUCUUCCCUUCAUCUGCCUUCUAACUCUCCUAUUUAUAGAUUGUUAAAUAUAUUUAUAUUUAUAUAAAUAUUAUUAUUGUAUUAUUUUAUUAUUUUUUCUUUUUUUUUCUUUUUCUUUUUCUUUUCCUUCUAUGUCCUUUCGGCGACGACGUCCUUUGCGGACGCACAGUUCAAUUCAAUUAUUUUUAUAAAAAUUACACUUCAGCCCUUCAACUUUUAAUUUACAUUAUAUCAUCUCAUUUAAAUGUGCUCUUUAAUGAAUCCACAAAGGUCAGAAUCGUUAAAUUUAACUCAAUACAUCAAACCAAAGUCCAAAUUUUAUAAAUAUAAAAAUUGAAACCUUACAACCUCCACCACUAAGAAAUUUUGUCUCGAAAUUAGAUAAACGUACACGAUUGAUUUUUAAUCAAAAAGAACGGAUAGUUGCGCGAACCUCUGAUUCACGUUCCCAUGUAGCUUCCUCUAUGCCAUGAGAGGCCACAGAACUUUUACCAAUGGAAUAGUCUUUCACUCUCAGGAAAACUUGAUCCCUCGUGUCCAACACACGAAUCGGUCACUCAUCGUAAGAUGACAUCAUCAUUGACGUCAAGAUUCCCCAAUCCAAAACGGGGAAGGAUUGGGCUCAUUUCCGCAACAUGAAAACAUGAAAACACAUUGUGCAAAUUGCGGCCAACAGCGGUGGAAAGGGCAAGACGGGUAUGCCACGGCCCCAAUACGAUCAAGAAUCUCAAACGGUCCAAUGGAAUAUUGGUGAUAGCUUGCCGCUAUGCCCGAAAGCGCAUACAAAACCCUAUUAGGUGAAACCUUAAGAAAAGAUGGAUCCAAACAGCAAACUCCAAAUGGCGUUCUUCCGAUCACGCAUAACUCUUUGACGACUUUGAUGCCGUAAGUGGAAACUUUUCUAAUCCAAUACUCCUUUCGGUCGUAUCACGAACCCAUUCGACUUUACAAGUACUCCUCUCCAACGUCGGUCCAAACCACACGGGUGACCUACAUGGUCUUCCGUUACAAUGCUCAUCUUUGAUGAUCCACAGCUACUCCACUCCCCGACACACCGUGGACCCUAAGAAUUUUACCUCAGGUAACCAAAAACUCGCAUUGCUAAGCUUAGCAUCAAGCGAUUAUUCUCGCCAAAGCAUGCAAAACACUAUCCUCAAAUGCUCUCAUGUGACUUCAACCGAUAUGAAGAAUAGAUCAAGAUGUAAACCACAAAUACGACCACGAAACGUUCAAGAUAUGGAUGAAGAUACGAUCAUCAAAUCCAUGAAAGCUGUAGUGCGUUCGUAAGACCAAAUGGCCAUCACAAGAAACUCAUAAGCCCAUAGGGUGAUGCGAAAAGCCGUUCUUAGCAAUAUCUCCCUCUUUGAUCCGCCAAUUGAGGAUAACCCGAUCUCAAGUUGAUUUUCGAGCAAACAACUCGAAACCUUUCAAUUGUUCAAAACAAGUCGUCGAUCCUCGGAAGGGGAUACUUGUUCUUUAUUUGUCACCGAUUUAAUCGCCGAUGAAUCUACGCACAUUCUAAGUGAUCCAUUCCUUCUUCUUGCAAAUAAAGCCGAGCUCCCCAUGGUGAUGUGCUAGGCGGAUUAAAGCCUUUAUCCAAUAAAUCUUGGACUCUGUGAAAUUUCAGUUCUUGUAGCUCUGCCGGUUGCCAAAACGAUACGGGUGUGGUACCGAUAUGGGCGCAGUUACCGGUUUGAAGAUCAAGGAGAAUCAAUCUCCCAGGUGGUGGUAACUCCAUCCAAAUCCUCUGAAAGCACAUCUGAAAAUUCACAAACAACUGGUGGCAAGGCCACACUAACUACGCUACCCUCAUCGACCAAGCACGCCGAGAAAAGAAAUUUAAAUCCCCUUGCCUACGCACAUCAGGUAGACGAUGGACAAAAAUCACCACCUCGAUCUCCCAUAAUUGAAAGCGAUCUCCUUCAUGGUGUACAAAAGGUAACACGGUAUCGGAACAUAGUCGUCAGGCCCGAUAUACGGUCAACCAAUCCAUACCAAGGAUUACGUCAAACGAAAUCAUGGUCUAAUACAAUAAAAUCAAAACGAAAAUCGAUCACGCUUAUUCUCAACCUCACAAGAUCUACAAACUUUAUUCAAGUCGAUCUAUCCCCAAUGGAGUUAUAUAACAUUAAGAUGAAAUAGUAAUCAAUCUUCUAAUCCAAUUGCCAAGCAAAAGAUGAUGAGAUUGUGAUUGCUCCCGUGUCGGAUGAGAACACAAGCCCACGAAUUAAACAUAAGUAAAGUACCCUCGACACAACAAGAGGUAUCCAAUGAUUGCCUCAUGAUGUCCAGCUAUCCCUGACGGUCCCGCUGUUGAUGUUAUAAGCGCAAAACCCGUCCUUGCGUCCUCUGACCUGCUUGAGCUACACAGCCGUGGUCUGGACUGAUAAUGAAGUCUGUGCUUGAUGUAAAGCUGGAGUAGCCCUCGAGGCCGAACUGACCGGUAGGUUAUUGCAAAUACCGUAGCUCCCUGACUGUUUCUCCCUCUAGGUGCAACUGUCGACUGAUAUGACUCACCUGACCACACACCCCGAUAGCAGGUAGGUUGCCCCAAUGGCUAGUGAAUUGUCCUAUGUGCCUGAAUGUGGAGAUUGUCGCCCCUGCUGUGACUGCCCGCUGCUCGACCCUUCAUUGUCAGCACUAUAACGAUGACCCUGUUGAUGGGGGACACCAAAACAAAUCGGGCCCUCCUCGAGCAUGUUUGCCCGUCCUCCCAUCACCGACUCUUGGUGAUCAUCUCCCUCAAUCGAGAUUCCUACGAGCCCCCGCUUGGUCCACGUGCCCCAUCGAGCUCCGUAAGUGACUUGCACGACCUCUUCGUGUUGCGUGGUGGCAUAUUUUAUUACACAUGCCACAAAAAGCAAUAAGAUAAUCAUAUUCACUAUGAUUAAGUCUAAUAUUAGCUAUAAGCAUAAUCAGUUUACUAACAGUAGUAUUGCACGUUCAUGUUAUCCCUAUCACAUAGAUAAUUUUUAAUUAGUUGUACCCUACGUACCCUCGCAAUACUUAGACGUUAAACCAAAUGUGGUCUAGCCAUCCCACGGCUCAUAGGUAUUCGAACCUAGAGCUCUGAUAACCAUGUUGUCACGUCCCCAGCAAACCAUGGACCAGGCCACGUAAGCAAACAACUCACAUGUGGAAAAGUCAAAUAAAACAUGGACAAUACACUGUCAUUUACAUCAGAGUGCGGAAAUAAUUUACACAUCUAAACACUUUAAUAUAUUUACAAAUUAACAGUCAAUUGCAUCCACAUGCCUCAAGACUCGGGAUAACCCUCGGUACCGUGAACAAUCAUUGUUUAUAGUAGGUGAGUUUACUUGAAAAGAUUUAACAAUGGACUUGAAUGCUUGCAAGCCAAAACCAUGAUCAUAACUUAUACCUAUGAAACAUGAUACAAUCCAGUAUGCUUUCAUUUAUAUCAAAUAUACUUUUGAUUUCAACUUUGAUUCUCAAAUCAACAGGUUUUUCAAAUUCACUUUUUCUCACAAGGCAUUACUCCAAUAUUUAUGAAUACACAUUUAGUCACCAUACUAACCAAUCUUAUUAGCACUAACCGUGAGAUAACACCCAUCACUUUCCGACUUUUCAUCAUUUUCAACCGUGGGCUAUGAUAUUCCGCCGUAUCGUUGCCAUUCUAGGCCUUUUAUUUUGUCCACUUCCGGACUUUCACACCGUGGCUAGGACAUUCCCCUCCGUAUCUUUGCCAUCUAGGAUUUAUUAUAACUUCCGGACUUUCCACAUCCAUCACCGUGGGCUAGGACAUUUCCCUUCCGUAUCCUUUGCCAUCUAGGACUUUAUUCUGUGGCUUAAUCUAAGCCAUCUAAUUUCGGUAUAAUUUUAGCGUGCUCCUUCCUAAGACAUUCUCAUUCUCAUUCCAAAUUUUCAUUCUAAAACCAAAGUUCAUUGGCUUUUUGAACUUUUAUAUUAAUAAUUAUUUUCCACAGUAUACAUAUAAUCACUUUUAAUCAUCAUCAAUGUAACCAACUAAUUCAUUAAAGAGACAAUUUCAAUUAAUUACUGUCAAAUUUUUCAUAAGCAUUUAUGAGCAUUAAUUUGACAAUAAAUCUGAUAUUAAGCAAAAUAAUUUUUAGAUAAAAUUUCUACACAUCUAUCUCUUAAUUUUCCGCAUAAAAAUAAAUUAUGCUCAUCAAACUAAUUUUUCCAUUUCAAAAUAAUAUCUUAUAGACUUUAUAAUAGGUCUAUUAAACAACAAAUUCAAAGUAAACCUCCACAAACUAACCCCCUUUACCGUCAACUAUAAUUGACAAUCAGAACACCCGUCGAAUAGAAUGAUCAAGGCUCCAGGAUCUCAUACUAAAAUUUUGCAUUGAUCCAACGUCAUCUCAUCUCACCGUGAUCCUGCACCCCCUAUCUUCGUGAUUAAAACUUAACCUCACCAUAUAAUUUCUCCAUUUCUUUCUCUCUCCCUCGCUUCUCUUUCUUCUUCUUCCCUUCAUCCGAUAUCCGAGCCUUCUAAAUCUCCUAUCUUAUAGAUUUGAUAUUAUAUUUAUAUAUAUAAAUAUAUUAUUUUAUAUUAUUUUAUUAUUUUAAUUAUUUUGUCCUUUUCUUUUUCUUUUUCUUUUCUGUUUCUUUUCUCUCUUUUCCUUUCGGCGCCGACGCCUUUCGCCGCACAGAUUCAAUUCAAUUAUUUUUUAUAAAAAUUACACUUCAUCAGAGCCCCUCCACUAAUUACAUUAUAUCAUCUCAAUUUAAAUGUUCGCUUUAAUUAAUCCACAAGCCUGAAUCGUUCAAAUUUAAAACUCAAUACAAAUCAAACCAAAGUCCCAAACUUUAUAAAUAUAAAAAAUUGAAACUAAACAGCUUUCGUUUCUUUGUUGACAAACUCUCGAUGGUUCUUACAGCAUCGUGAGUUUGAAAGGGAUACUAGAUUAUUAGAUAUUUUGUAUUAGCCUUGAGGGUAGACUAGUCUUUUAAUAUUUUGCCUUUUAUGUGUUUUCUAUUUCGGCUAUAUAAACCUCGUAUUAUAUUUUCUAUUAUUUUAUGCUUAAUAUCAAGAAAUCCUAGUCAUCUUUCUCUCAAUUUUAACACAUGACAUAUUUUUCAAACACAAUUUAACUUAAUUAAUUUAUUUUUUAAUCUCUCUCUAUCUCAGUUAUUUCAGUCUAUAUGUACAAAUACACAUUUAUUUAGUUUGUUUUUAAUCUCUCUCUGUCCGUUAUCGAUACUAGUAUUGUUAAGGGACUUUUUGUGAUAAGCAUUUUGAGAGUCCAAGUGACAUAAAUAUACUAGCUUAUUUUUUAUUUUAUUUUUUGAAUUGCAAAUCUUAUCUAUUUUAAGGGGAAAGGGGAGAGGUUGCCUGGGUUCGAUCCCGGGACCCGGUGCAUGGGAGUGUAAGUGCUCCUCACCACCGAGGUAAACUCCACUUGCAAUAGAUAUACUAUAAAGCUCAUUUGAUAAUGCGUAAGCUAAAAUUUUGAUUUUUUUAUUUUACUUCCUUUAUCUCAUUCUAAAAUCUCUCUUCAGAAAACUCUCAACAAUAAGAUAAAUAUAUAAAUUUAUAAAAUAAUUCCUAAAAUCUCUCUCCGUUCUAAAUAAUAACAUUUAUUUCAUUAGGUUAAAAUCUCUCUCCUAUCAGACUUGGUGAAUGUCUCCCCAACCAGGUUAUUUUUUCCUGAAAAGGGUUUAAAACAAGGUGAUCCAUUGUCCCCAUUUCUAUUUAUUUUGGCUGCUGAGGGUCUUCAUUGGCAAAAAUCACAAUAUUGCAGAAUGCUUCUAAGGCACGUCACGAAUGUCGCUUUUCUUAAAGGCGUUAUCCCCCCAUCAAUUCUGAAAAGAUGAUAUGUACGGGUUCACAGCGAAUAGCUUCUAAGAUAUAAUGAAGUCAGAAUUUAAUCCGCUAUUGGUUGCCUUUGCACAAACAAAACAGACCAAAAUACUUUUAGAUUUUUUAGGUAGCCAAAAAUUAAAAUUCGUUUCUAAAGAAAAAAGAAUUCAAGACAGUUUGAAAAACUAUAAUGACAAAAGAAAAAAAAGAGUUCGAAAAUCAAGUGAUGUUUAAUUGCGCCGAAAUCUGUCAAUUUAUAGACUGAAUAGUAUUUUUCAUGAAGAGGUGUAUUGGAAAGAUGACUGUUAGAUUCAAAAUCUAACCAGUUCCAAUAUUUUAACUGUCAUUUAUACCAGUAAACAUUAGCUGAAACCAUGGUCCAUCGAUAACACUCAACCUCUCUCAAUUAUCCAAUCAAAGCCGCAUUUUAUACAUCUUAUUAAUUAGAUGUGCUUUCCACCAUACGAUCUUGUUAAUCUCUAAUUAUUAACCGUCGAUCGUUGUGAUCAUCAUGAAUAAAAAUCAACGGUAUGAUCACACGACCACGUGCACGUGCCACGUGCCAAGUGCCAGUGCGCCAAUAAUAGCGCCCAAAGUCCAACUGCACCAAGCGCGCGCGGCGUGUGCGUGUGCGUGUGCGGACGGUUGCACCGGCCUACACCUUGUGCACAUACUUACCACCCAAGCAUAGUGGCCUAGCACAACAAGACAAACAAGUCCUAAUGACUAGCACUUAAAAAUCUGUUCACUGUCCUUAUCUUUUUCAAUGUGGACUCUAAAACUUCAAAACAUAUUACAUAUAAUACAAUCUUUGAAUAUAUUUUAACAAUCUCCCACAUUUUCAAAAUAUAAAUAAAAUUUCUUGGUAGACUAGAAAAAUUAUGCUAAAUAAAGGUGUCUUAUAGACUGAACCUUCACUUAGUGAUAACAAUCAAAGUUAACCAGAUGGCUAGUAGGCAAAACUUUGAACUAGCAAUCCUAUUUGUUAAACCGGGAUGUCUUCACACAGAAAUUUUCUUCUUUUACGUCAUUUAUAAAGACCGGACACGGGGAAGGCCUUGUGUCUUUACGCUAUUUCAUAAGUGCUUUAAAGAUUGCCCAAGUCGCAUAAGAAGGCGGCACCAGCUUUACACUCAUCUAGUAGACUUAUCAGAAGGAUCCAUAAGUUAAAUCCUUCAACAAAUCUGCUAUAAGUCUAUUAAGAGUUAUUGCCAUACCUCUUUACACAUUACCGGUACAAGCACUUUCUUUUGGGACAAAAAGAUAAGAACCGUGCUUGCCAUCACUACAUAUAAUGUAUUUGAAUCAUUGAACUCGAGACUUGAUUUUAAGCGUAGAGUCGAUUCCAUCAUUGUGAUUAGCUUGUGGGCCUAAACCCAUUCCCUUUGAUGGUUUCAACACCAAAUCCCUGCAAAUCCUUUUGUAAGUGGAUCGUCAAAAUUUAGAAAAGAUCUCACAAAUUAAUAGUAAUUACCCCAUUUGUAAGUAAAUUGUCUUACAUAACUAUGCCUUAGGCAAUAUGCCUAGAUUUUCCAUUAUAUAUUUGGGCUUAAGCCGUGAUAGAGUGCCUCACUAUCACAAUGUAAAGAUAAAGGGGCACUAGUGUAGGCCAAAAGGAAUUUCCAAUAAUAAAUUCCUAAGCCACUCAGCUCGUUGCUAUAAGAGCCAAAACUACAAAACUCAGACGCCAUGGUAGAGUUCUGCAAUCAAAGUUUGUUUCUUUGAUCCCCAAGAGUAGCUCCUCCCCCAAAGAGUGAAUAUCCAAACCACUAGUAGACGUUAUGAUCAUCACGCUCCGUUAACCAAACUAGCGUCUCAUAUCCUCCAAAAACUGUUAGGACACCCGCUAAUAAUAAAUACAUAAUUCAUGUUCUUUUAAGCUAUCUCAAUAUUCUUGUUACAGCAUUCCAAUGAUAGUGCUAGGACAACUAGGAUAUCUACUAGUUUACCCAUUGCAUAAGCAAUGUCUGGCUAAAUACAUGUAUAGCAUACAUCAAACAAGAUAAUUAUCUUAGCAAUAUUUUAAUUGAUCAACAACUAUUCUAGAUUUGGAUAUACUUCAAGUUUGGGAUCAAAAGGUAUAGUCACAGGUUACUAUCAAACAUAUCAAACUUUCUAAGUAUCUUUUAAUCUGGUGUGAUUGUGAAAGAGUAAUAACAUCAUGGUUUCUUAUAAUCUAAUUCCCAAAAAUAACUUAGCAAGUCCCCAUAUCUUCAUAUCCAAAUUGAUGAAGAAAUUUACUUCACAUUCUCAAUGCGUAUCGAUAUCAAGGUACAAAGAUUAACAUGUCAUCUACAUCACAAGCCAUAUUAUCACCACCUUUCGGAUGUUACACAACUUACUAUACAUAUUGUUCAGAUUCGUGUUAUUCUAAAACCCUUAGUAAUCAUCACUUUAUCUAAAGUUUUUCAUGCCAGUUGUUUGGUCAUUGUUUAAGCUCCAUAAAAAGAACUUAAUUAGUUUACAAACUUUAUUCUUCUUGCUCAGGCAUGACAAAACCCUCUGGUUGGUUCAUAUAUAUUUCUGUCAUCUAAUUCACCAUUUUUUAAAAAUGUUUAUUUUACCGUCAUUUGGUGAUUUUCAAUUUUGUUAUAUAGAUGCCAAUGCAAUAAGUAAUAUAGUGAUAGUAGAACAGUACUGCGAAAGCAACAGGAGCUUAAGAAUGUCAAAAAUAUCUAAUCCCUCUGGUUUGUUUAAAUGGUCUUAGCCACUAAUCUUGCUUUUAAACUAAUCCAUAGUACAUCUAUUUUCAUUUUUUUUCUAAAGAUCCAUGUACAACCAAUAGGAUUGGAACCAUGGUGGUAAAUCUACUUAAUUUUUAGGUUAUUACCCAUUUAUAGAAUCCAUUGUAUUAUAAAUAGCUCCUUCCAAAAGGACAACAUUUUGAGAUUUCAUAACAUCUCCAAAGUAAGCGAGUCAGAUUCUAUAGACUGGUGUGGGAUGUGACAACGAUUUGUCUAGGAAUGUGAAUCUCAGUUCCUUCUUACCAAGUAAAUGUGUAAAAUCUGGACUAAAAGACUUUUCAGUCCUUACCCUCUUACUCCUCUUAAGUAUACUGAUUCACUGUUUCAUAUACUUUAUUAAUAUAUAUUCCAUAUGGUAAUUCCAUAUUGGUUUUAUAUUAUAUAAUAGGUUUUAGGAAAGAAAUGAAUCUAUUCUAUUAAAAUACUGCAUUCUAGACUUGAUUACAGUAUUAUUUCUAUUGCUUCAUUUAGGGCCUCGGUAAUCUAGAAAUCUAUACUCUUUACUAUUUUCAGCAUAACCAAGAAAAAUACAUUCAACAAUUUUUUUGUCCUAUUUUCUUAAUCUUAGGUUCUGGCUAAAUCUAACAAUGGUCUUACAAAUCCCAAACUUAAGAUAACUAAGUUAAGUUUUUUAUUCUUUCACAAUUCAUAUGGUGUUUAUAUUAGUGCUUUUUAUGAGGAAUACGAUUUAAAUAGACAUGUCAAGGUUAAACAAAACUUCACCCAUAAUCCGAAUUAUACUAAGACCAGAUUAAAAGCCAUAGCAUAUCAUCAACUAAAGUUCUAUUGUUUCUGUCUGCAACUCCAUUUGUUGUGGUGUGUAUGUCAAUAGAAGUUUCAUGGACAAUGCAACAAAUUUACAAUAUAAAGGAAUAAUGGUAUUCCACCUCCCCUAUCAGAUAUAAGACACUUAAUUUAAUAUCACAUUGAUUUCAACUCUGGUUUUAUAUAUUUUAAAAUUAUUAAAAUUUCAUCUUUGAAUGCCAUUAAGUAAACAUAAACAAAUUUGGUGUAAAGUCAUUCUAUAAAAGUAACAAAAUUAACUUUUGCCUCCUCUAUGUUGGUAGUACUAUGGCCAUAUCACACACAUCAACUAUGUAUAAUUUAAUAAAUAAGAUGUUCUUUCAAUUUUAGGUAAAUGAUGUUCUAGUCGAAUGAGAUGCUACAAAUUUUACUACAUUUAUCAUUCAUAUCAUUUGCACAUUUAUAAAGUAAUCUAAAUUAACCAUGUCAAGUAUUAUUCUAAAAUUAACAUGUCUUAAACCAAAAUUCCAUAAAGAAAAAAGAAUCAAGGUGUAUAAGCAGAAACAUUCAUUUUAUGAUGUGAGUUUGAACAUGCUCCUCAGACAAUACAUUUUCCCACAACAAGCCCAUCCCUUGGACAAAAAUAAACUGUCGACUGCAAACACAGGUUUGAAAUCAAAUUUGUUAGAAAGAGUCUUUUCAAAAAACUAAAUUUUUCCUAACUCUGGUACAUAGUAAACAUCAGUAAGAGUAAGACAUUUUCCAGAAGUAAAUCGCUGAUCACAGUUCCUUUGCCCUGAUUGUUGCGGUGGUACGAAUUACCCAUGUAAAGGACGCUGCCAUUUCAAUGGUUCAUAGUUCUUGAAGAACUUUGAUCUGUGCAGGACAUGCCUGUCGCCCACAGAGUAAUCCACCAUGAUUCUAGCAUCUUCGAGAACAUUAGCCUCGGAUAUCAUAGCCACAAACCUUUCUUGAGUAGUACAGGGAGUCAUUUUUUUUUUGUCAGCAAAAAACUUUUAGGGGGUGGGCACUCUCUUUAUGUUAGUGGCCUCUUGUUACCGCCGGGUAGCAGGAACCCUUCUUGUUCUUAUGUUGGAUUCUGAUUGUGGUUCUAGUAUUUGUCAAAAACUUUCUGUCCCUCUUUACGUAUUGCCAUUUCUAGACUUUUUGCAGCUUUGUCUUCUUCCAUCAUGUGCACCUUUGAGGCAUGAGAGCCACGCAUCUUCAUUACUGUCUCUGACCGAAAUUCCUCUUCAAUUCGAAGAUGAUUUCCAAUUCCUCUAGAAUAGGAGCCGUUCCUUCUUGUGUUUCAGACUCUUUUAAGUCUUUUCCACGUGAUGUAGUUUGUCCAUGAAUAGCAGAUAACAACAAAUUUGAUCACAUCUAUUAUCAGUUUGUUGAUUAAAUGUAUCAAGAAUAUGCCAUGAGUUCAUGAAACUGCUAUACCACAGGAACGAGAAUCAACCAUGUUUAAAAUUAAAAAAAUUAAUCAGAAAAUUUAUUACUUUAGGUGGCGUCCUCAGUUCCUCAGUUAAAUACUUAGCCUCUAACGCAUCUCACAGUUCCUUCGCAGUCCACUCUGUGUUUUGAGUACACAUCAAACAAAGACCUCUGACAUUUGUGUGAGGAUGUGGCAGCUGAAAUAUAUUCAUCUGUUCCCACUUGAGCCUGGUAGUGCCUCAGCCAUAGUAUCGUUUUCAUUUACAGCAAGUUUGUGAGUAGUGAGAACAUAGACGAAAAACCUUCAAAUGAAAAGGAGGAAAUGCAUCUUUUUGCCAAGCGCUGAAUGAAUUGCCCCAUCGAAUCCGCUCAAGUGUUGUACAAAAUAAGCAGGUGAAAUGACGCGAGAGAAGCCAUAAUAACGCGCGUUAAGAUUGUUAGAGCAAAAAUCACAAUAUUGCAGAAUGCUGCAUAAGGCAAGUCACGAAUGUUGAUUUCCUUAGAAGUUAUCGACCCCCACCAAUUCUGAAAGAAUGGUAGUGCACCGCAGCAGUUGUCACAGCGAUCGCUUCAGGGAUACAAUGAAAGCCUCAGAAUUUAAUCUGAAUCUGAUGCGUGCACAAACAAAAUCAGACCAAAUACUUUAGAUUUUUAGGAACCAAGAAGCUGAAAUUCUGUUUCUGCAGAAAACAGAAGAAUUCAAGAACAAGUUUGAAAAUUGUAAUUUGAUAAAGAAAGAGAAGUUCGAAAAUCAAGUGAUGUUUACUUGCUGCGAAAAUCUGUCAAUGAUAGACUGAAUAGUGUC